ACAUGCAAGUCGAACGGUGAAGCAGGAGCUUGCUCUUGCGGAUCAGUGGCGAACGGGUGAGUAACACGUGAGUAACCUGCCCUUGACUCUGGGAUAAGCGUUGGAAACGACGUCUAAUACCGGAUACGAGCUUCAGCCGCAUGGCUAGGAGUUGGAAAGAAUUUUGGUCAAGGAUGGACUCGCGGCCUAUCAGGUUGUUGGUGAGGUAAUGGCUCACCAAGCCUACGACGGGUAGCCGGCCUGAGAGGGUGACCGGCCACACUGGGACUGAGACACGGCCCAGACUCCUACGGGAGGCAGCAGUGGGGAAUAUUGCACAAUGGGCGAAAGCCUGAUGCAGCAACGCCGCGUGAGGGACGACGGCCUUCGGGUUGUAAACCUCUUUUAGCAGGGAAGAAGCGAAAGUGACGGUACCUGCAGAAAAAGCACCGGCUAACUACGUGCCAGCAGCCGCGGUAAUACGUAGGGUGCAAGCGUUAUCCGGAAUUAUUGGGCGUAAAGAGCUCGUAGGCGGUUGGUCGCGUCUGCUGUGAAAUCCCGAGGCUCAACCUCGGGUCUGCAGUGGGUACGGGCCAGCUAGAGUGCGGUAGGGGAGAAUGGAAUUCCUGGUGUAGCGGUGGAAUGCGCAGAUAUCAGGAGGAACACCGAUGGCGAAGGCAGUUCUCUGGGCCGUUACUGACGCUGAGGAGCGAAAGCGUGGGGAGCGAACAGGAUUAGAUACCCUGGUAGUCCACGCCGUAAACGUUGGGCGCUAGAUG
rnacentral:rRNA from 1 species